rnacentral:rRNA from 1 species
AUUGAACGCUGGCGGCAUGCCUUACACAUGCAAGUCGAACGGUAACAGGUCUUCGGAUGCUGACGAGUGGCGAACGGGUGAGUAAUACAUCGGAACGUGCCCGAUCGUGGGGGAUAACGCAGCGAAAGCUGUGCUAAUACCGCAUACGAUCUACGGAUGAAAGCGGGGGAUCGCAAGACCUCGCGCGGACGGAGCGGCCGAUGGCAGAUUAGGUAGUUGGUGGGAUAAAAGCUUACCAAGCCGACGAUCUGUAGCUGGUCUGAGAGGACGACCAGCCACACUGGGACUGAGACACGGCCCAGACUCCUACGGGAGGCAGCAGUGGGGAAUUUUGGACAAUGGGGGAAACCCUGAUCCAGCCAUGCCGCGUGCAGGAUGAAGGCCUUCGGUUGUAAACUGCUUUGUACGGUAACGAAAGGUACCUUCUAAUAAAGAAGGCGUCAUGACGGUACCGUAAGAAUAAGACACCGGCUAACCUACGUCGCACGCAGCCGCGGU